UUAAGCAUAUCAAUAAGCGGGAGGAAAAAGAAAACCAACAGGAGAUUGCCCUAGUAACGGCGAGUGAAGCGGCAACAGCUCAAAUUUGAAAUCUGGCUCUUUCAGAGUCCGAGUUGUAAUUUGCAGAGGGCGCUUUGGUGUUGGCAGCGGUCCAAGUUCCUUGGAACAGGACGUCACAGAGGGUGAGAAUCCCGUACGUGGUCGCUAGCCUUCGCCGUGUAAAGCCCCUUCGACGAGUCGAGUUGUUUGGGAAUGCAGCUCUAAAUGGGAGGUAAAUUUCUUCUAAAGCUAAAUACUGGCCAGAGACCGAUAGCGCACAAGUAGAGUGAUCGAAAGAUGAAAAGCACUUUGGAAAGAGAGUCAAAUAGCACGUGAAAUUGUUGAAAGGGAAGCGCUUGCAGCCAGACUUGCCUGUAGUUGCUUAUCCGGACUUUUGUCCGGUGCACUCUUCUGCGGGCAGGCCAGCAUCAGUUUGGGCGGUUGGAUAAAGGUCUCUGUCAUGUACCUCUCUUCGGGGAGAACUUAUAGGGGAGACGACAUGCAACCAGCCUGGACUGAGGUCCGCGCAUCUGCUAGGAUGCUGGCGUAAUGGCUGUAAGCGGCCCGUCUUGAAACACGGACCAAGGAGUCUAACAUCUAUGCGAGUGUUUGGGUGUCAAGCCCAGACGCGUAAUGAAAGUGAACGGAGGUGGGAACCCUUUGGGUGCACCAUCGACCGAUCCUGAUGUCUUCGGAUGGAUUUGAGUAAGAGCAUGGCUGUUGGGACCCGAAAGAUGGUGAACUAUGCUUGAAUAGGGUGAAGCCAGAGGAAACUCUGGUGGAGGCUCGCAGCGGUUCUGACGUGCAAAUCGAUCGUCAAAUUUGGCAUAGGGCGAAAGACUAAUCGAACUAUCUAGUAGCUGGUCCUGCCGA
rnacentral:rRNA from 1 species